rnacentral:rRNA from 1 species
AGAGUUUGAUCCUGGCUCAGGACGAACGCUGGCGGCGUGCCUAACACAUGCAAGUCGAACGGAGAGAUAUGAGAGCUUGCUCUUGUAAAUCUUAGUGGCGAACGGGUGAGUAACGCGUAAACAACCUGCCCAACGGAUGGGGACAACAGACGGAAACGACUGCUAAUACCCAAUAGACUCCGGUUUCGCAUGAAACCGACAGGAAAGGUGGCCUCUCGAAGAAGCUACCGCCGCAGGAGGGGUUUGCGUUUGAUUAGUUAGUUGGUGGGGUAACGGCCUACCAAGACGAUGAUCAAUAGCCGGUCUGAGAGGAUGAACGGCCACACUGGAACUGAGACACGGUCCAGACUCCUACGGGAGGCAGCAGUGGGGAAUCUUCCGCAAUGGACGAAAGUCUGACGGAGCAACGCCGCGUGAGUGAAGACGGCCUUCGGGUUGUAAAGCUCUGUUAUUCGGGAAGAACGAUUCGUUUGUGAACAAUGAACGGAAGUGACGGUACCGAAAGAGAAAGCCACGGCUAACUACGUGCCAGCAGCCGCGGUAAUACGUAGGUGGCAAGCGUUGUCCGGAAUUAUUGGGCGUAAAGAGCGCGUAGGCGGUAUGGUAAGUCUGUCUUAGAAGUGCGGGGCUUAACCCCGUGAGGGGACAGAGACUGUCAUACUGGAGUCUCGGAGAGGAAAGCGGAAUUCCUAGUGUAGCGGUGAAAUGCGUAGAGAUUAGGAAGAACACCGGUGGCGAAGGCGGCUUUCUGGACGAGCACUGACGCUGAGGCGCGAAAGCGUGGGGAGCGAACAGGAUUAGAUACCCUGGUAGUCCACGCCGUAAACGAUGGGUACUAGGUGUAGGAGGUAUCGACCCCUUCUGUGCCGGAGUUAACGCAAUAAGUACCCCGCCUGGGGAGUACGGUCGCAAGAUUAAAACUCAAAGGAAUUGACGGGGGCCCGCACAAGCGGUGGAGUAUGUGGUUUAAUUCGAUGCAACGCGAAGAACCUUACCUACUCUUGACAUCCAG